GCCUGGGUGGUCUAGGGGUAAGACGCCAGAUUAGCUACCUGGAGACGGGAGUUCGAUCCUCCCUACGGGCA